rnacentral:rRNA from 1 species
GCUUAACACAUGCAAGUCGAACGGAUUUUUAUCAUAGCUUGCUAUGAUAAAGGUUAGUGGCAGACGGGUGAGUAAUGCAUAGGAAUCUACCUGGUAGUAUGGGAUAGCCACUAGAAAUGGUGGGUAAUACUGUAUAAUCCCUGCGGGGGAAAGAUUUAUCGCUAUUAGAUGAGCCUAUGUCAGAUUAGCUAGUUGGUGGGGUAAUGGCCUACCAAGGCGGUGAUCUGUAGCUGGUCUGAGAGGAUGAUCAGCCACACUGGAACUGAGACACGGUCCAGACUCCUACGGGAGGCAGCAGUGGGGAAUAUUGGACAAUGGG